rnacentral:lncRNA from 1 species
AAAAAUUACCACACGGAUAAAGAUCCGAAGCUAUAGCAGUUAAAGGGGCAAGAAACCCUGAAAUGUCUCCAGCUGGACCGUCAAAGGAAAUCAGUCAACACGAAUAAUCAAAAUAAAACUCCAGGGGGUAUCCCACAAAUAAAGUGGGAAACCACGCGAGUGUCUCUGCAAAAGCCAUGUGAGCCCUCACAAAACUCGACAAAGGGUUAGAGCAGCAGGAUGAAAUCAAG